rfam:Xenopus laevis strain J chromosome 3L, whole genome shotgun sequence.
AAAUGUCAGUGAUGCACUUCUUUACCUACAUUGUUUGAUCUAAAUGAUAACAUCUUGUUAAGACUGAGACAUUC